GCUACUCAUAUUGUAGAAAAUUCGCCAUUAGUCACCAUUUUCACUAUACUCUUAAACCCGUAUUCACAUACAAAGGAUUAAUCGAUGAACCCAAGAGCUAGUGUCAGCGGCUGGCGAAGUGGAGUGUGUGAGAGCUCUAAGAGCAAUGGAAAUGGCGUUUGUUAUAAUUUUUGGCGACAUUGAUUGACCAUCCUGGAGAGAUAGAGAGAGUAGAGAGGGAAUUACGGGAGAUACCGGGACCCAAAACCGAAAUCGGAACUGAGGCUUUGAAGGUG
rnacentral:misc_RNA from 1 species